GACGAACGCUGGCGGCGUGCUUAACACAUGCAAGUCGAACGGAAAGGCCCUGCUUUUGUGUGGUGCUCGAGUGGCGAACGGGUGAGUAACACGUGAGUAACCUGCCCUUGACUUUGGGAUAACUUCAGGAAACUGGGGCUAAUACCGGAUAGGAGCUCCUGCUGCAUGGUGGGGGUUGGAAAGUUUCGGCGGUUUGGGAUGGACGCGCGGCUUAUCAGCUUGUUGGGGGGGUAGUGGCUUACCAAGGCUUUGACGGGUAGCCGGCCUGAGAGGGGGACCAGGGACAUUAGGACUGCGGUAGGGACCAGUGGGGAACGGGGGGCAGCAGGGGGAAGUAUGGCACAGUGAGCGGAAGUGUGAGACAGAGGCGUCGGGUGCGGAAAGACGGUCUACGGGGUAUAAAGCGAGUUAGCCUGUGACGAUGCGUGAGUGACGGUAAUGGGUAAAGAAGCACCGGCUAACUACGUG
rnacentral:rRNA from 1 species